rnacentral:rRNA from 1 species
UACGUAGGGUGCGAGCGUUAAUCGGAAUUACUGGGCGUAAAGCGUGCGCAGGCGGUGAUGUAAGACCGAUGUGAAAUCCCCGGGCUUAACCUGGGAACUGCAUUGGUGACUGCAUUGCUGGAGUAUGGCAGAGGGGGGGUGGAAUUCCACGUGUAGCAGUGAAAUGCGUAGAGAUGUGGAGGAACACCGAUGGCGAAGGCAGCCCCCUGGGCCAAGAUUGACGCUCAUGCACGAAAGCGUGUGGAGCAAACAGG